UACGUAGGGGGCAAGCGUUGUCCGGAAUCAUUGGGCGUAAAGGGUGCGUAGGCGGUCGCGUAAGUCAGGUGUGAAAUCUCAGGGCUCAACCCUGAAACUGCACUUGAUACUGCGUGGCUCGGGUACUGGAGAGGAGACUGGAAUUUACGGUGUAGCAGUGAAAUGCGUAGAUAUCGUAAGGAAGACCAGUGGCGAAGGCGAGUCUCUGGACAGUUACCGACGCUGAGGCACGAAGGUCAGGGGAGCAAACGGG
rnacentral:rRNA from 1 species